GAUGAACGCUGGCGGCGUGCCUAAUACAUGCAAGUCGAGCGAACAGAUGAGGAGCUUGCUCCUCUGACGUUAGCGGCGGACGGGUGAGUAACACGUGGAUAACCGACCUAUAAGACUGGGAUAACUUCGGGAAACCGGAGCUAAUACCGGAUAAUAUAUUGAACCGCAUGGUUCAAGAGUGAAAGACGGUUUUGCUGUCACUUAUAGAGGGAUCCGCGCCGCAUUAGCUAGUUGGUAAGGUAACGGCUUACCAAGGCAACGAUGCGUAGCCGACCUGAGAGGGUGAUCGGCCACCCUUGAACUGAGACCCGGUCCAGACUCCUACGGGAGGCAGCAGUAGGGAAUCUUCCGCAAUGGGCGAAAGCCUGACGGAGCCACGCCGCGUGAGUGAUGAAGGUCUUCGGAUCGUAAAACUCUGUUAUUAGGGAAGAACAAAUGUGUAAGUAACUAUGCACGUCUUGACGGUACCUAAUCAGAAAGCCACGGCUAACUACGU
rnacentral:rRNA from 1 species